GUCUUCCAAAUUGUGAAAAUUGGCAAUUGGGCGAUGUUCACAGUGUCCCGUCUACUGCCUGGGGCCCCUGUCAUGCAGCAGCUGCAGGUUAAGGUGACAUGGGAAGCGAUCAUUGUGAGUCAUCCAGGGAACACAGGGAGAGUUAACCUGAUGGUGACGCACACCUGCCAACUGCUGAGAAGAAGAUAAUCAGCCCUCAGGAAUUUUCGACCCAGCCGCACUGCACAGCGUGGUUGCUGGACUCCUAGGACCAAGCCUCCUGGGCCUGGCAGGCAGCUGUAAUUCAGAGUGGGUCGGGGCUCCAGGAUGUGUUGUUUCCUGUGCGUUGCACUUCGCAGAGGCACAGAGCAGAAGCUAAGCCUGAUGGCCUCUGAACACUGGUUGGGUUUUUGUUUUUGUUUUUUUCCUGGCAACAAAAUUAAAGCCGCACCUAGGGAUUUAUCCACCCUUUUGCUGAUCUCGAUGUGAACUGUGCAGCUGAAUCCCUGCACACAGUACUGACUCUAUCUCUCAGGGUGUUGCUUAAAAUGUGGCUGAGCACAAAUGCAAAACAUCGUCUUGUUGAAGUCAGCACACAGAAUUAAUCUCUAAAAGUAAUGAAAGAAUUAGUUUCACUUUGUACGAUAAAUAAAUGCAAAGUAUGGUGAAGUCA